AUACUGUGGUAUUCUAGAGCUAAUACAUGCCCUACAGCUCUGACCUCGCGGGAAGAGUGCAUUUAUUAGAUCAAAACCAAGCGGCUUCGGCCGUCUACCACUGACUUAAAGUAACUAAGAUGAUCGUAUGGUCUUGUACCGACGACGUAUCUUUCAAGUAUCUGCCUUAUCAACUUUCGAUGGUAGUGUAGUGGACUACCAUGGUUGUGACGGGUAACGGAGGAUAAGGGUUCGACUCCGGAGAGGGAGCUUGAGACACGGCUACCAUGUCUAAGGACAGCAGCAGGCGCGCAAAUUACCCACUCUCAGAACGAGGAGGUAGUGACGAAAAAUAACGAGACCGUUCUCUAUGAGGCCGGUCAUCGGAAUGGGUACAAUCUAAACCCUUUAACGAGUAUCUAUGAGAGGGCAAGUCUGGUGCCAGCAGCCGCGGUAAUUCCAGCUCUCAAAAUGCAUAGAAUUAUUGCUGCGGUUAAAAAGCUCGUAGUUGGAUCUGUGCUGGGAACUGGGUCCGCCUUCGGGUGUGCACUCAGCUUCCCGGCUUUUUGCUGGUUUUCCCGUUGUGGCCUUUACCGGUUGCAGCGGGUGGCUGGCGAGUUUACCUUGAAGAAAUCAAAGUGCUUAAUACAGGCGAUUUGCUUGAAUGUGGUGCAUGGAAUAAUAGAAAAGGAUUUCGGUUCUC
rnacentral:rRNA from 1 species